CCGGAGGAAGCUUUACUGGUCAGCCAGGUAGAGAAAGAUGGCAGAAGUGAUGGGGAGCUCUGAAGGCUGGUGAGAAAAUGUGUGCUGUGAUCUUGUUCUAGAACGAUCCUGAAGGCAGCAGAACAGAGCAGGACUGAAGGCCACCAAGGGGAUUUCAACUCUUCAGAAAAAAAUAAAUGACUCACCUUCUCACAAAGAGUAAGAAUCACAGAGGUCAGAUUGUCUCCUCCUGCCCAUCAGGGACAGAGUCCCCCAUCUUUGGCUUGCUCCAUCUGGCAGGGCAAGGAGGAGUCCAUUUUACGGUAGAGAAACCAAGACCCAGAGGGAGAACAAAUGGAUUGAAGGCACGUGACAAGUUAGUGACCAAGCUGAACCUUGAGA
rnacentral:lncRNA from 1 species